rnacentral:rRNA from 1 species
UGACGCGGUGAAUACGUUCCCGGGCCUUGUACACACCGCCCGUCAAGCCAUGGAAGUUGGGGGUACCUAAAGUACGUAACCGCAAGGAGCGUCCUAGGGUAAAACCGACUAACUGGGGCU